GGGGAUAAAGGACUCAUCAUCUGGAUUU
rnacentral:piRNA from 1 species